CUACUGUGGAACAAGCGCAAACAUGGUUCUUUGCGGAAGAAGCAAGGACGAGAAUCAUUCGGGAAUUCUUCAUCCUCGAAUUCUCUCAGUGGCACAUUGUCAGACCGCCGGUCGACCCACGGUCCCAGUGCUGGGUCCUUGGUUUUUGAGACUCUGUUUUCACUUCGCCUGGUGUCCCUGAAACCCUUCGGAACGCCAUAGGUAUCCCUGGAGCGCAUCAGAUGGCGUUUCGGAUGUAUUUGCUGGGGAAAACAGUCCAGUGGUCAAUCACAUUCUAUGGAACGACCCAAAUGGCGUGUUUCGAGAGUGAGGGCUACGGUUGUCUGAUGGCUGUCAUUGCACCUUGAGAAGCUGGUAUUAAACAACUGGGUUACAGGGAUAGCGCUGAAAGUUUCAUGCUUCUUCUGUUAGCAGCAGGUGUCCGUGUUGUCUACGGUGACACGCUGUAGCUGUUCGUGGAUCUGAAACGGCCAAACUCGCCGUAGGAAAAAUUACUGGGCAGGAGGGUAGGUUUACCACUCCCAUCUCUCUAUCGCAGUUCCUAUGCUUCUGCUCAGCACUGACCUUCUUGUGUCGAUUGUUCAGAAACGAGUUUACUGUUUGCAUUCUUGCUUGUUUUUCUCGAAAGCAUGUGGAAACAUACAACUUUUUUCUGUCUUAGAAUCGGAAGGCGUGUGGGGGGAGGUCUCGUAGAUUGCCUUCUGUUGGCUGUGGUGCGCUGUGCCCCCCGUGUCGGAAAUCAAGUAUAAGCGAAAAACUGUGCGUUGAAUGUAGGAAAGCAUUAAUAGGUUGUGUCGACACAGACCGUAUGCAUGCACACACCGAGCGACGUAUAUAAGCGUGGAGAAGACCGUCGGAAGCUCUGAUGUGGCGGCCUCGUUUCGACGCCCUCACACAUUUAUGGUGCUGAACGUGAGAGGCACAUGUGCCGAGGAAAAAUGACGCAAUACAAAUGGGAAUCUGCAACCACAGAGUUUGCAUCGAGUGGCGCCGAAUCGCUGCCUGAAGUAAACAGAAAAACAAAACCAAGCGCAGCCCAGAGAUCUACUGUUCGUGGAUGUAUAUGCGCUCUUUCGUCGUCACUCCGUGUUUUAUCCCAAAGCAUUCAACGUUGCUUUCACCAACAAAAGAUCAGAACUCUGUGCCUUUGGCCCUGCCGGAGAAUUUUUGGUCUCUGCAGAAAGCUCAUCGUCAGAGCACUGGCUAACUCGACAGUGGAGGUGACACCGUGAAUUCCCCUUUGUUGAUGUUUGAAAUUAGUGCAGUU
rnacentral:lncRNA from 1 species